rnacentral:rRNA from 1 species
UACGGAGGGUGCGAGCGUUGUUCGGAAUCACUGGGCGUAAAGGGCGUGUAGGCGGUCCGCUAAGUCUGAUGUGAAAGCCCGGGGCUCACCCCCGGAAGGGCAUUGGAAACUGGCGACUCGAGUCCGGAGAGGAGGGUGGAAGUUCCUGGUGUAGCGGUGAAAUGCGUAGAUAUCAGGAGGAACACCGGUGGGCGAAGGCGGCCCUCUGGACGGUGACUGACGCUGGAGACGCGAAAGCCGUGGGGAGCAAACAGG